GACGGAGGGGGCUAGCGUUGCUCGGAGUCACUGGGCGUAAAGGGUGCGUAGGCGGGUCUUUAAGUCAGGGGUGAAAUCCUGGAGCUCAACUCCAGAACUGCCUUUGAUACUGAAGAUCUUGAGUUCGUGAGAGGUGAGUGGAACUGCGAGUGUAGAGGUGAAAUUCGUAGAUAUUCGCAAGAACACCAGUGGCGAAGGCGGCUCACUGGCCCGAUACUGACGCUGAGGCACGAAAGCGUGGGGAGCAAACAGG
rnacentral:rRNA from 1 species